rnacentral:rRNA from 1 species
GACGGGGCCGCACAAGCGGUGGAGCAUGUGGUUAAUUCGAAGCAACGCGAAGAACCUUACCAGGGCUUGACAUCCCCUGACCGCGUAUGAAAGUACGUUUUCACCCUCGGGUGACAGGGAGACAGGUGGUGCAUGGUUGUCGUCAGCUCGUGUCGUGAGAUGUUGGGUUAAGUCCCGCAACGAGCGCAACCCCUACGUUUAGUUGCUAACGCGUGAAGGCGAGCACUCUAGACGAACUGCCGUUGACAAAACGGAGGAAGGUGGGAUGACGUCAAAUCAUCAUGCCCCUUAUGUUCUGGGCUACACACGUGCUACAAUGGCCGGUACAGACGGACGCAAAGCCGCGAGGCGGAGCAAAUCCGAAAAAGCCGGUCUCAGUUCGGAUUGCAGGCUGCAAUUCGCCUGCAUGAAGUCGGAAUCGCUAGUAAUCGCAGGUCAGCAUACUGCGGUGAAUACGUUCCCGGGCCUU